CCUACGGGUGGCAGCAGUAGGGAAUAUUGCUCAAUGGGGGAAACCCUGAAGCAGCAACGCCGCGUGGAGGAUGAAGGUUUUCGGAUUGUAAACUCCUUUUGUUAGAGAAGAUAAUGACGGUAUCUAACGAAUAAGCACUGGCUAACUCCGUGCCAGCAGCCGCGGUAAUACGGAGGGUGCAAGCGUUACUCGGAAUUACUGGGCGUAAAGAGCGCGUAGGCGGGAUAGCAAGUCAGAUGUGAAAGCCUAUGGCUUAACCAUAGAACUGCAGUUGAAACUGUUAGUCUAGAGUUUGGGAGAGGUAGGUGGAAUUCUUGGUGUAGGGGUAAAAUGCGUAGAGAUCAAGAGGAACACUCAUUGCGAAGGCGACCUGCUAGAACAUAACUGACGCUGAUGCGCGAAAGCGUGGGGAGCAAACAGGAUUAGAUACCCGUGUAGUC
rnacentral:rRNA from 1 species